UACGGCGGCCAUAGCGAAACGGGAAACACCCGGUCCCAUACCGAACCCGGAAGUUAAGCCUUUCAGCGCCGAUGGUAUUGCAACCGAGAGGUUGUGGGAGAGUAGGACGCCGCCGGAC
rnacentral:rRNA from 1 species